AUUGACCGCUGGCGGCAGGCCUAACACAUGCAAGUCGAACGGCAGCACAGAAGAGCUUGCUCUUUGGGUGGCGAGUGGCGGACGGGUGAGUAAUGUCUGGGAAACUGCCCGAUGGAGGGGGAUAACUACUGGAAACGGUAGCUAAUACCGCAUAACGUCGCAAGACCAAAGUGGGGGACCUUCGGGCCUCACACCAUCGGAUGUGCCCAGAUGGGAUUAGCUAGUAGGUGGGGUAAUGGCUCACCUAGGCGACGAUCCCUAGCUGGUCUGAGAGGAUGACCAGCCACACUGGAACUGAGACACGGGCCAGACUCCUACGGGAGGCAGCAGUGGGGAAUAUUGCACAAUGGGCGAAAGCCUGAUGCAGCCAUGCCGCGUGUAUGAAGAAGGCCUUCGGGUUGUAAAGUACUUUCAGCGGGGAGGAAGGCGGUGAGGUUAAUAACCUUGCCGAUUGACGUUACCCGCAGAAGAAGCACCGGCUAACUCCGUGCCAGCCGCCGCCGUAA
rnacentral:rRNA from 1 species